rnacentral:snRNA from 1 species
GGAUGUGAGGGCGAGCUGGCUGCGACAUCUGUCACCCCAUUGGUCACCAGGGUUGAUUCGGCUGAUCUGGCUGGCUAGGCGGGUGUCCCCUUCCUCCCUCACCGCUCCAUGUGUGUCCCUCCUGAAGCUGCGCACUCUGUCAAAGAGAACAACCUACCCUGAACAGAGGAGGACCUGUCUUCAGUCAAGGGUAUAUGAGUAGCUGCGCUCCCCUGCUAGAACCUCCAAACAAGCUCUCAAGGUCCACUUUUUCUUCUAUCAAGUUCAGUGUGGUCAGAAUUAUAUUGAGGUCCUUAAUCCAUUUGGACUUGA